GGAUAAAAAUCUUUCACCACAAUGGAUCUUUGUACUUCAAAAAGAUGUUUGACAAAUUGUAUCAGGCUGACUGGAAACCAGAAUCACCAGAUAGGUUGGGUGAAAUUGCAGAACUGGGCAAGUCCGUGGAAUCCUUGAAAAUUGAUGGAACAAAACCACAAGGACAAGGGUCAAAAUCCUCCCAGGUUUCCUCAAAACCAGCCAG